AAUAGUGGGAGUAGCCGGCCUAACGGCCGAGUAAUACCGCAUACGCUCUCGAUGAGGCAUUUCAUUGAGAGGAAACCUCCGGGGUAUUUCGAGGGGCUCGCGGCCUAUCAGCUAGUUGGCGAGGUAACGGCUCACCAAGGCAACGACGGGUAGCUGGUCUGAGAGGAUGGCCAGCCACAUUGGGACUGAGAUACGGCCCAG
rnacentral:rRNA from 1 species